CCAUACCAAUCAAGUAAUGCAGUUUAUCUUGGUAUGUCUUUUCUCUACAACAAUAAUUUGGGAUUUUUGUUUAAAUUAUCACUUAUUCAUUUUUUAUUUGGCAUUGAAUUGUUGUUAAUUUGAAUGGCAGGUGGGUAUGACAUGGAGGAAAAAGCUUCAAGAGCUUAUGAUCAUGCUGCACUUAAUACUGGGAUUCUUCGACUCAUAAACUUUAUGGUAGGGUUCUAACAAUUGGAAUUUUAUGAGUUUGGGCUUUUUAGGAGCAGAAGUUUCAUUCUUUUGGUCUUUUUGCUGUUGGAUAAUUACACUAUACAACUUGAGUAGAUGAAGAAUAUGAGCAUGAAUACGUUGGGCAUCUGCGAAGUUUGGACCGAUCCCGAAGAGCUCUCUGCAUUGUUGAGCCUACAUGUGUCUAUCCUUUCCAAGAUUUAGUUGAACAUGGGAAAUCACCAGCUGUUGCUCCCAGAAAAGCUGAUGUGAAGUGAGCUUCUGUUUUUAUUUUUCGUUUUGCUGUGAAUUUUCUUUGAUUUAUGUGAUUUGAUCGGUGACCUUCAUUAUGAAUUUAUGUUUGAUUUUUUGAAUUUGAUACGUUGAAGAGCAAAGCUCAUGAAUCUCCUACUUUAAUUGUUUUUUUCAACACCUGUUCAUCCUAUUAAAUUCUAUGUUCAGUUUAGUCCUGUUAGAAUAUGUAAUAUUUCUUUUGUACAAAAUAGAUUAACUUUGGUUGGUGGGGCAUUUGAAAUGCUUAUCGGUUAUUUACCAAAGGUGGUUUAAAGGAACUACUUAAACUUCUUGGGAUGCCUGUUUUAAAAGUAAAAGGAGAGGUUGAAGCACACUGCCCAGUUAAAUGGGAACGGUCAUGUAGAUGCUUGAAUUACAUUGGACAGUGAUGCGUUGCUCUUUGAGUUUAAAUGUGUA